UAGCCUAUGCUCGUAAGAAACGCCGCGCUCUCAUAAACAGUUUGAAAGCGGCAGAAAUCACACUAACUAUAUCUUACAGGUGUCGUCGAUGGAUAUUGCGUAUAGCAUCCUCGAUGUCGGAUUAAUUUAGCAAGUGGAUCUACGGUGGAGGUGAACAUCACGAUAACAAACAAAGGAUAAAAAUGCAGUCGGUAUGGACAUGUCACGCAAACAGACGAUGAAGAGGAAGAUCAGGUUAAAAGUCUUUAAUAACACCAGGGAAGCAAAUCCAAAUAACACAGUAAAUGGCUGGAAACUAAACAAAGGACAACAGGAACUAAUGAAAGUCGGUGGCACUGAAGACGAAGGCAGAGCCGCGGUGUUGAGCUUCUGAGGUGGAACCAGAGUACAAGAGGACUGAGGUGGAGUCGGUGGAACCGAGCACCGCACAGCAGAGUCCGUGGCACAGGCAGGGGGAUGACUGACCAGGGUGGUGCUUGAGGGACGAGGGAACCCAGUGGAGCAAGCCGGGGAUCCACUCGCAUUUAUUUGAAAUUAAUCUCGACAUUUUUCAAAAUGAAUCGAUUUGUUUUAAAAACGAAUCGCUAUAUAUUUAUUCAAAACAAAUAGCUACAUCCAUCCAAAAUGAAUCGAUUU